rnacentral:ncRNA from 19 species
GAGGAAAGAGACUUAUAGGUCUCGCGAGUUAUUUUAAUUCGUAUGCAAAGAAAAAGAAGAGCUAUGCAUUUUAUUUAAAAUGCGUAGUUUCUUUUUUU